UUUGUUUCGCGCCGCGGUAGGUCAGCGGACAUCUAUUCCAAUAACAAACGCAAUUUUGUAGGAGCGGCAAGAGAGCUCAGUAAAUUCACCGAUAUACAAAACAUCGCGUUAACUGAAUUUACAGCUCAGCAAAGCAUCAAAAUUUAAAUUCAUUGUGUCUUACGCUCCUCACUUCGGCGACAUAUGGGAGGCCGGUGUGACCGGCAAAAUAUCAUAUCAACAAUGCAUCACACAAACAAACAUAUAUAUAAUAUAUCAAACAAGUCAUGGGGAAUUCUCAUUUAACUUUUGAAGAAAUUUUAACUUUUAAAGCAAUUUUAACUUUAUUUGCACAAGUGGAGGCUAUUUUGAAUAGUCGUCCCUUGCGCCCAUUAUCCAUGUUCCCUUGACGAUUUCCUUUUCCUUUCCCCAGGGCACUUCUUAAUCAGAAGACUACUAAAUGAGCUGCCGGCUCGCGCCUUGGAGAAUGAAAGGGAACCACAAUUAAAACGCUAUGCACGUCUCAAGCAAAGCAAACAACAAAAUGAAGACAAGCAAGACAAGGCUAAAGGUUGGAGACCUGCCACCUUUGUAUUGGAGUACUGGAUGCCAGUAGCCAGACUAUAUCCGGGGCCAGACGGGAGCUCUCGCGUUGCUGAUAUUCGGCCCACUACGGGCUGUUAUCGCCGCCCUCUGGUUCGCCGCCCCCCCUUUACUCAACGAUGAAGACACAGAGUUGAAGAAUCUUGAUUCUUCAACGGGGGGAGUAUGUUAAGGAACGUCUCACAUCUUGCGUUGCAACUCUUGGUUCACAUCGUGUGGUCCGCACUUUAAUUUAUCGGUCAUCGGUGUGAAGUGUUUAUAAACUGUGAGUGCAAUAGACAAUCAGUGAUGUGACAGAACGUUAGGUAUAUAAGACAGUGAUUUGACAUUUGAACUCUCUCUUCUAUACUUCUUCUCGUCGUGCGAAGUGUUUGCAUAAUAAUGUAAUUUUGUAAUACAGCAAUCUAUUCUCUUCCAUCUUUCAUUUUCUCCAUUUCAACAAACAACAAUGCAAUAAAUACAAGCAACAAAGCAAUACAACGAAACAGUAACUAAUGUAUUACAA